UGAGGAAUAUUGGUCAAUGGACGCAAGUCUGAACCAGCCAAGUAGCGUGCAGGAUGACGGCCCUAUGGGUUGUAAACUGCUUUUAUAUGGGGAUAAAGUGGGGAACGUGUUCCCUUUUGCAGGUACCAUAUGAAUAAGGACCGGCUAAUUCCGUGCCAGCAGCCGCGGUAAUACGGAAGGUUCGGGCGUUAUCCGGAUUUAUUGGGUGUAAAGGGCGUGCAGGCGGGCUGAUAAGUCAGAUGUGAAAUCCCCGAGCUUAACUUGGGAACUGCAUCUGAUACUGUUGGUCUUGAGUGCUGGAGAGGAUAGUGGAAUUCCUAGUGUAGCGGUAAAAUGCGCAGAUAUUAGGAGGAACACCAGUGGCGAAGGCGGCUAUCUGGACAGUAACUGACGCUGAGGCGCGAAAGCGUGGGUAGCAAACAGG
rnacentral:rRNA from 1 species